UACGUAGGGGGCAAGCGUUGUCCGGAUUUACUGGGCGUAAAGCGCGCGUAGGCGGAACGAUCAGUCCGGUCUGAAAGCCCCCGGCUCAACCGGGGAGGGUGGCUGGAAACUGUCGUUCUUGAGGGCGAGAGAGGAGGGUGGAAUUCCUGGUGUAGCGGUGAAAUGCGCAGAUAUCGGGAGGAACACCAAUGGCGAAGGCAGCUCGCUGGGACGUGACUGACGCUGAGACGCGAAAGCGUGGGGAGCAAACAGG
rnacentral:rRNA from 1 species